GAGGGCAUAGCUCAGUAGUACAGCAUGUGCUUAGCAUGCACAAGGUCCUGGGUUCAAUCCCUAGUACCUCCA
rnacentral:tRNA from 1 species